rnacentral:rRNA from 1 species
UACUAGGGGUGCAAGCGUUGUCCGGAAUCACUGGGCGUAAAGGGUCCGUAGGCGUCCUAACAAGUCAUUUGUUAAAGACACCGGCUUAACCGGUGGCCUGCAUUUGAAACUGUUAGGAUAGAGUAUAGGAGAGGAAAGUGGAAUUCCUGGUGUAGCGGUGACAUGCGUAGAUAUCAGGAGGAACACCAAUGGCGAAGGCAGCUUUCUGGCCUAUUACUGACGCUGAUGGACGAAAGCGUGGGGAGCGAAC